rnacentral:rRNA from 1 species
AUUGAACGCUGGCGGCAGGCCUAACACAUGCAAGUCGAGCGGAGCGGCGGGCGGGUGAGUGAUUCCUAGGUAUCUGCCCUGCAUUGGGGGAUAGCGUCCGGCCACGGGCGCUAAUACCGCAUACUAACAGCUGCGCAUAGGUCGGAUUAGCUAGUUGGUGGGGUAAAGGCCUACAAAGGCAACGAUCCGUAACUGGUCUGAGAGGUUGAUCAGCCACACUGGAACUGAGACACGGUCCAGACUCCUACGGGAGGCAGCAGUGGGGAAUAUUUGACAAUGGGCGAAAGCCUGAGCCAGCAACGCCGCGUGUGUGAAGAAGGUCUUCGGAUUGUAAAACUCUUUAAGUUGGGAGGCGUUACCAACACAAUAAGCAACGGCUAACUUCGUGCCAGCAGCCGCGGUAAUAC